rnacentral:rRNA from 1 species
ACGUUAGCGGCGGACGGGUGAGUAACACGUGGGUAAUCUACCUAUAAGACUGGGAUAACUUCGGGAAACCGGAGCUAAUACCGAAUAAUAUUUCGAACCGCAUGGUUCGAUAGUGAAAGAUGGUUUUGCUAUCACUUAUAGAUGGACCCGCGCCGUAUUAGCUAGUUGGUAAGGUAACGGCUUACCAAGGCGACGAUACGUAGCCGACCUGAGAGGGUGAUCGGCCACACUGGAACUGAGACACGGUCCAGACUCCUACGGGAGGCAGCAGCU